AUGAGCUGCGAAGGGUGCAAAGGGUUCUUCAGGCGCUCCAUCCUUAAGGCUGUGCACUUCACCUGCCCCUUCUCCCGGAGCUGCCCCAUAACCAAGGCCAAGCGCCGGCAGUGCCAGGCGUGCCGCCUCCAGAAGUGCCUCGACGUGGGGAUGAGGAAGGACAUGAUCAUGUCAGAGGAGGCCGUGGGCCGGCGCCGGGCGCUGCGGCUGCAGCGGAGGUUGGCACAGAUGCAGUCCGGGGGGCUGACGGAGGAGCAGCAGGAGCUCAUCAGCAUCCUCAUCGCCGCACACAAACGCACCUUCGACUCCAGCUUCUCCCAGUUCCAGCACUACCGGCCUGCUGUGCGUCUCUGCAUCCCCGACCUGCACUCCCAGAGCCCCCCCGGACCGGGCGUCCCUUCGGCACCCCUGGUCCCACAGAUGAACUGCCUGGAUGAGGAUGUGCUGCCUGACGUCUUCUCCGUCCUGCCCCACUUUGCCGACCUCAGCACCUUCAUGAUCCAGCAGGUCAUCAGGUUUGCCAAGGAGAUCCCAGCAUUCAGAGGGCUGCCCAUCGAUGACCAGAUCUCGCUGCUCAAAGGAGCCACACUGGGCAUCUGCCAGAUCCAAUUCAACACAGUGUUCAACGAGGAAACCAACGCCUGGGAGUGCGGGCAGCACUGCUUCACCAUCGAGGACGGAGCUCUGGCCGGCUUCCAGCAGAUCUACCUGGAGCCGCUGCUCAAAUUCCACGUCAGCCUGAAGAAGCUGCGGCUGCACGAGGCUGAGUACGUCCUGCUGCUGGCCAUGCUGCUCUUCUCGCCAGACCACGCCAGCGUCACCCAGCGGGAUUUCAUUGACCAGCUGCAGGAGAAGGUGGCCCUCACGCUCAAGAGCUACAUCGACCACCAGCACCCCAUGCCCGAGGGCAGGUUCCUCUACGCCAAGCUGCUGCUGCUGCUGACGGAGCUGCAGACCCUGAAGAUGGAGAACACGCGGCAGAUCCUCCACAUCCAGGACCUCUCCAGCAUGACGCCGCUGCUCUCCGAAAUCAUCAGCUGAAGCCCAGCCAGGCGCUCAGCCCCCGUCCCCACGGAAGGGGCUCCGUCGCGCUUUGCUUUGCACACUCAAGUUCAAAGUUCAAAGUCCACGGGGCUACAGAGGGGACGAUCGUGGAGCGGUGACAAGCCCACAACAGCGGCGACUUUGGGGACGCCAGCACAGCGGUGACAGCGGGCACAGCGGCCCAGGCGCUGUGCCCGCAGGGUCCCCUUGUGGACGCAGCCCCUCCAUCACCCCC